rnacentral:rRNA from 1 species
GACGAACGCUGGCGGCGUGCUUAACACAUGCAAGUCGAACGGAAAGGCCCUGCUUGCAGGGUACUCGAGUGGCGAACGGGUGAGUAACACGUGGGUGAUCUGCCCUGCACUUCGGGAUAAGCUUGGGAAACUGGGUCUAAUACCGGAUAGGAGCCAUCUUUAGUGUGGUGGUUGGAAAGUUUUUUUGGUGUAGGAUGAGCUCGCGGCCUAUCAGCUUGUUGGUGGGGUAAUGGCCUACCAAGGCGGCGACGGGUAGCCGGCCUGAGAGGGUGUACGGCCACAGUGGGACUGAGAUACGGCCCAGACUCCUACGGGAGGCAGCAGUGGGGAAUAUUGCACAAUGGGCGCAAGCCUGAUGCAGCGACGCCGCGUGGGGGAUGAAGGCCUUCGGGUUGUAAACUCCUUUCGCUAGGGACGAAGCUUUUUUGUGACGGUACCUAGAUAAGAAGCACCGGCUAACUACGUG